UUUAUUUUAGCGGCGGACGGGUGAGUAACGUGUGGGCAACCUGCCUUUUACUGGGGAAUAAUCACUGGAAACGGUGACUAAUACCGCAUAAUAUUCUUGGAAGGCAUCUUCCGAGAAGGAAAGGAAAUAUUCGGUAAAAGAUGGGCCCGCAUCUGAUUAGCUAGUUGGUGAGAUAACAGCCCACCAAGGCGACGAUCAGUAGCCGACCUGAGAGGGUGACCGGCCACAUUGGGACUGAGACACGGCCCAAACUCCUACGGAAGGCAGCAG
rnacentral:rRNA from 1 species